CAGUCGCCACGGUAAUACAGAGGGUGCGAGCGUUAAUCGGAUUUACUGGGCGUAAAGCGCGCGUAGGUGGUUUGUUAAGUCGAAUGUGAAAUCCCCGGGCUCAACCUGGGAACUGCAUCCGAAACUGGCAAGCUAGAGUAUGGUAGAGGGUAGUGGAAUUUCCUGUGUAGCGGUGAAAUGCGUAGAUAUAGGAAGGAACACCAGUGGCGAAGGCGACUACCUGGACUGAUACUGACACUGAGGUGCGAAAGCGUGGGGAGCAAACAGGAUUAGAUACCCGAGUAGUCCCUGUCUCUUAUAC
rnacentral:rRNA from 1 species